rnacentral:rRNA from 1 species
UGGGGAAUAUUGCACAAUGGGGGAAACCCUGAUGCAGCAACGCCGCGUGAAGGAAGAAGGUCUUCGGAUUGUAAACUUUUGUCCUUGGUGAAGAUAAUGACGGUAGCCAAGGAGGAAGCUCCGGCUAACUACGUGCCAGCAGCCGCGGUAAUACGUAGGGAGCGAGCGUUGUCCGGAUUUACUGGGUGUAAAGGGUGCGUAGGCGGAAGAGCAAGUCAGUAGUGAAAUCCAUGGGCUUAACCCGUGAACUGCUAUUGAAACUGUUCUUCUUGAGUGAAGUAGAGGUAGACGGAAUUCCCGGUGUAGCGGUGAAAUGCGUAGAGAUCGGGAGGAACACCAGUGGCGAAGGCGGCCUACUGGGCUUUAACUGACGCUGAGGCACGAAAGCAUGGGUAGCAAACAGGAUUAGAUACCCUGGUAGU